rnacentral:rRNA from 1 species
GAUGAACGCUGGCGGCGUGCCUAAUACAUGCAAGUCGAGCGAACAGACGAGGAUCUUGCUCCUCUGACGUUAGCGGCGGACGUGUGAGUAACACGUGGAUAACCUACCUAUAAGACUUGGAUAACUUCGGGAAACCGGAGCUAAUACCGGAUAAUAUAUUGAACCGCAUGGUUCAAUAGUUAAUUACGUUUUUGCUUUCACUUAUAGAUUGAUCCGCGCCGCAUUAGCUAGUUGUUAAGGUAACGGCUUACCAAGGCAACGAUGCGUAUCCGACAUGAUAGGGUGAGCGGCCACACGGGAACUGAGACACGGUCCAGACGCCUACGGGAGGCAGCAGUAGGGAAUAUUCCGAAAUGGGCGAAAGCCUGACGGAGCAACGCCGCGUGAGAGAUGAAGGUCUUCGGAUCGUAAAACUCUGUUAUUAGGGAAGAAAAAAUGUGUAAGUAACUAUGCACGUAUUGACGGUACCUAAUCAGAAAGCCACGGCUAACUACGUG